rnacentral:rRNA from 1 species
GUAAGUCGGCCCCUAAGGCGAGGCAGAAAUGCGUAGUCGAUGGGAAACGGAUUAAUAUUUCCGUACUUGGUAUAUCAGUGAAGGGGGGACGGAGAAGGUUAUGCAAGCUUGGCGUUGGUUGUCCAAGUGAAAGUGCGUAGAGUUGUUUCUUAGGCAAAUCCGGGAAACUACAUGCUCGAGACACGAGACGAGACUCUAAGGAGUUGAAGUUGCAAAUACCAUGCUUCCAGGAAAAGCCUCUAAACUUAUGAUAUAUCGAACCGUACCCCAAACCGACACAGAGAGCCGAGACGAG